rnacentral:rRNA from 1 species
CCUACGGGAGGCUGCAGUAAGGAAUAUUGGGCAAUGGAGGCAACUCUGACCCAGCCAUGCCGCGUGAAGGAUGACGGCCCUAUGGGUUGUAAACUUCUUUUAUACGGGAAUAAACCCGGGUACGUGUACCCGGCUGAAUGUACCGUAAGAAUAAGGAUCGGCUAACUCCGUGCCAGCAGCCGCAGUAAUACGGAGGAUCCAAGCGUUAUCCGGAUUAAAUGGGUUUAAAGCGUGCGUAUACGGCAGUGGUGAAAUCCGACAGCUUAACUGUAGAACUGCCGUUGAUACUGCAAGUCUUGAGUACAUUUGAUGUGGGCGGAAUGUGUCAUGUAGCGGUGAAAUGCUUAGAUAUGACACGGAACACCAAUUGCGAAGGCAGCUCACAAAACUGUAACUGACGCUGAGGCACGACAGCGUGGGGAUCAAACAGGAUUAGAUACCCGAGUAGUC